rnacentral:lncRNA from 1 species
GCCAUAUAUCUAGGACGCGUGACCUCCUCUCCUUCUGCCCAUCCAUGGCGCUCGGCAACCAUCGCCCCUGCUCCUCUUCCUUGGAGGCCGGGCGGGGCUCCCUCCAUGGGCGAGCCUCCAACCUUCCCUGUGUACUCUCUCGAACCCAAGUGCAAGGUGCCCCCGCGUGCUCUAUGGCCGCACGCGCCUGGCCUUGCCAUCUGUGGAGCUCGGCAGCCGGAGCCGCGUAUCCGCCCCGGCUGUGGUCGACCGGCUUCGCUUCAUUAAUCUGGGUAAGUAACCCUCUUCAACGUUCACUCUUGUCCCUGCUACGCAUAGAGCUCGUUGCCUUAGGAACUCGUGCAUCAGAGGCUUGGAUUUGGGUGUGCGCCGUUGAUGCGCCACCGUGCGGGCUGACCGACGCCGCCGCCGUGCUCGGUUUUUGGCGGAGGAAGGAGGCGAUGGGUGGACCGUUGAUUCGGCUAUGGAUGGAUGUGAUCGUACUUCGCGUACCCCCUUCAUGUGUCAGAGUCUGACCGUUGGAUCUGAUCGGAUGUACGAGAUUCUCUCUCGGCUAUUUAAAUCCUGGGCGUUGGUCCCUGAUCGAACGGCACACAAUACGUACCGGUUCGUCGUAGCGGGCUUUUAAUCUGGGUCCUCGGUUCUGGAUCGGGCGGCUCAGAUUCCAUCUUACCCCUUUGCCGUGGUCAUUUUCUAAACGAGCCCCUCGGAUUUCGAUGAAUUAACCCGCCGUCCAAUUGCACUAUUCACUGAGUCUUAGGAAUUUUAUCCCCGAGCCCCCUGCGCUUCUGUUUAAUUAAGGCGCAGUCCAGUGGAUAGGAAAAUCAUAGAAAAUGAUUUAGAAAAUGAUUUUAGUGUUAAAAUAAAUCAGAAACUUAUUUAAUUCAUAACUAAUUCAUUUUAGCUCCUUUUUGACCCAUUCCAGUUGCAAUAAUUUUGUUUUAAUAUUAUUUACCACUUAGAGCCUCUGUUUUGUCAUGAAAACAAUUAGAAAUUUAAUCUCUCACUUAAUCCAUUUUAAACACAUAAAACCUUUGAAAAUUCAUAACUUAAAAUCUAUAACUCAAAAAUUAAUGAAUCAUGUUCCUAUGAUCUUAUUUUAAUAUGUAUAUUAUUAAUGUGUAUUUUGUUCUUAUGUUUGGUGUAAUGUUAAAUUUGCCUAUACCAUGUUUGUUUGAAUUGCUACGACUAGCAGUGAGAACACGAGUCACCUGAAGAUCAUCCUGGUACCUGGAUUCUCAAGUCCCAGGCAAGUUGUGCCCUUGAUCACUUCUUUUUACCCACUCAUGUUCUAAUUAAUCAUAAUGAUCUGCAUAGGUUUAACUUUGAUGGGACCCAAUAGGUCACCCUAGUUUGUUUAUCCUGAAUACCUUGUUUACCCCUGAAUCACUUGGGUAGUUCUGCUACUGCUUUAUAUGGUUUUGGGUUAAUAUUUCAUUAUAUCUAUGUUCCAAUUAUGUUGUUAUUUUAUUUAUGUUCAUGACAAGAUCAUUAAAUGUUAAUUGGAACAUAGAGCUUAACUUGAGAAACACGUGCCACCACAAGGGUUUAAUGGGACGCCCUUGGCUGACUAAUUAGGAAAGCUAGUGGAGGACUACCUUACCCGAAAGGGGCAAGGGCAGUAGGGAAGUGGUCAGUGUAGGGAGGCCCUCGGGAGGAUUUUGCUGCGAUGGCGGUCCUGCAAGGGAUUCCUGCAUUGGAGCUUCCUAUAAACUGUAGCGGGUUUUCUGAAGCUAGUGGAACUUUGUAAAGGCCUCGUAAUGUUACCCUGCCUCGCCUCCUCGGUAGAGGUGUAUGGGAAGUCGCGAUCCCUUGGCAGAUGGGUAACAUGACUUGUGGGUAAAGGGUACCACCUCUGCAGAGUGUAAAACUGGUAUACUAGCCGAGCUCACGGUCAUGAGCAGCUCAGGACUCUCUGAUGAUUAAAUUAUGGAACUUAAACUCAAUUUGUCAUAUGCAUUGCAUCGCAGGUGAGGUUGUUACUUUUGUUCUACUACUUAAUUGGGUUGGUAUUUACUUAUACUUAGUAAUUGCUAAUAAAAUUUUGACCAACUUUAAAAGCAAUGCUCAGCUCUAACCAUCCUCUUUGGUAAGCCUUACACUUCACGUGAGCUCCCACCUUUGGCGAGUUCAUGCACAUUGUUCCCCACAACUUGUUGAGCGAUGAACGUAUGUGAGCUCACUCUUGCUGUCUCACACCCCCCACAGGUCAAGAACAGGUACCACAGGAUGAGGCGCAUGGAGGAUGCUGUGGCGAGAUCGUGAGAGGUCUAGGUCGUCGUCUCCCAGUCAACUUCGGGUUGCUGGACCGUUGUCUCCAUAUAAUGUAAUUAUUUAUUUAUUUUGUACAAACUCCGAUUAUAUAGUAAAGAUGUGACAUUCGAUCCUGUGCCAUGAUUCAUCAUAUGUGUGAGACUUGGUCCCAGCACACCUGGUGAUUAUGUUUGUGCCCGGGUUUUGGACCCCUAAAAUCCGGGUGUGACAGAAGUGGUAUCAGAGGAAUGUUGACUGUAGGACGAAACCUAGAUAGAACUGGACAACCAUUGUCUACUUACCUUUGCCACUCUGAUUCUUUUCUAAACUUUUCUUAAUCAUUUCUCAUAUAUUUCCGCUUACUCUGAUUAUCUUACCUUUUUUUCUAAAGACAAAUGUGGAUUUCACACUUUGAAAUCAUGUGCCUAAAGUGACUUUUAGGAAUAGGACACCUAAUCUUAGGGACAAAAACAAAACUAUUUUUAUCUAUGUGCUUGAAUGUUUGUUAUUAUGAUACUUGUCUGAUUUGGAUCGUUGAUUGAGUGGGAUGAGUUGUGGAGUAGUGUCCACAAUUGCAUCUACAUAUACUUAGGCAUAUAUAUAACUAAUCAAACUUAGAUUGUCCCUCAUUAAAAAUGUAUCUAGCUUAAUAGAUCCACCUUAUCUUAAAAGAUCUAUCUCAUCUUAAUAGAUCCAUCUUAUCCCGAAAAGAUUCUAUCAUAUCCUAAUAGAUCUUACUAACCUCAAAAGAUUCCAUCUUAUCUUUAUGGAUCCAUCUUAUCCUAAUAAGCAUACUUAUCCACCCUAGUUUAACAACCAUGAUCUAAUGCAAAAUAAUUAGAUCUUAUCUAGUCAAGCUAGUCAUACCAAUCUAAUCUAGAUCCCAUCUAAUCUACUAUGAUCCAAUUUAAAGAGAGUGACCUAAGAAGUUAGUUAAUCCUGGUGAAAUACAUCAGACCCUGCUCCUAUAAACAAGUUUGAGAUCCUAGAUCAACUCGGCCAUACCCAACAACUUGACCUACAUAAUAGAUCUAUCUUAACCUCUUGUCCCAACCCCGGAUGGAGACACCAAAGAGCAAGAAGGAGGAGAUCAACCUCGACAUGGAAGAAUAGGAGUCAAAUCAGAUCUCGAGAUGAUUCAAAUUUACCACCUUGGACGGAGUCUUCCCUUACCAAGUUCUUCUUACCAUCAGCUAACCUCACUCUGACCAUCUCUCUUCUUACCUGUGUGUCUAAACAUAGAAGAUACCCAUGCAUUUCUAAGUACUUGCUAAAUAGUAUUUUAAAAAGAGAAAGAGAGAGACUCUUAAUUUUUGAAUCCAUUAGAAACUACAAUCUCAAUUAUAAACCAACCUCGGUAUAACCCUUCUGCUUACUAAUCUCGAGGACGAGAUUAUUUUUAAGGGGGGUAGGAUUUGUAAAGCCCAAAAUUUGCAUAAGACAAUAAAUAAAUAUAUAAAUAAAAUAGUAAGUUCAAAUAUCUCAACUUAUACUUGAGUAAUGAAUGUUGUGGACUGAAUUUUGAAACUGAGAAGUAAUUUAUAACAUAUAGAAAGGUUUCUAUUCAACUAAAUAAUUGUGCAUAUCAUUAAAUGAUGCACCAUAGGCAUUUAUUUAUAUGAAUAUCUAAUUUUGAAGUAACUUUUACUUCUCAUUCCACAUUCAAAGUACUAUUUUUCUAAAUGAGAAAGAAAACAAUUUAUGGAACCAUUUAUUCCUUUGGUAAAUAGAUGACAAGGAAAAGAAUAGAAAAAAAAUAUUGUAAACAAUAGAUUUUAUAUUAGGAAUUAUUGUGACACUUGAAAAGUUAAAGUUCAAAACAUGUUUGAAUUUAAACUGAAUUUGAAAAGAAAACAGAAAAGAUAAAAGAAAAAAAUAGAGAAACCGCGCCUGGGCCAAUUCUGCACAAUUCGGCCCACUCUCCCCUCCCCUCACCAGCCCGCCACUCGCCCUGCCACUGACAACGAUGCCCCACUGGCCGGCUCCUCACCGCGUGCGCUAGGUACUCUAAUCGCUGACUGACGAUUGGGCCCGCAUCGUCAGGCACUUCUUCUCCGCGGUCGGAAUCGUCCCUUUCCCCCGCGUUCGCAUGAACUAAACCCAGGAGUCCGCGUGGAUCAGUGGAUGUCGCUAGUCGUUCCAACAACCCGGCCGGAAAUCCCGCGCGUGCCUGAGCCAUCGGCGGUCUUCGCGUGAGUUCCACGGCCAACCAUAACCGGUUAUCGCGGAUCCCUGGGGCUCGAGGCCAUAUAUCUAGGACGCGUGACCUCCUCUCCUUCUGCCCAUCCAUGGCGCUCGGCAACCAUCGCCCCUGCUCCUCUUCCUUGGAGGCCGGGCGGGGCUCCCUCCAUGGGCGAGCCUCCAACCUUCCCUGUGUACUCUCUCGAACCCAAGUGCAAGGUGCCCCCGCGUGCUCUAUGGCCGCACGCGCCUGGCCUUGCCAUCUGUGGAGCUCGGCAGCCGGAGCCGCGUAUCCGCCCCGGCUGUGGUCGACCGGCUUCGCUUCAUUAAUCUGG